GACAUGGCCUACUCCAUAUCAGAUGGCCCAGCCGUGGUAUUUUGUGCUGCCAGCAACAAUGUGGUGGUCUCAUCCACCUCCACCAGCUCUGCUUUGUAUGGUAUGUUUAAUGGUAACUGCCAGUACCACUGUGAUGGUCUCAUCCACCACUGCCUUGGUCCUCAGGGCUGCCGGCUCCACCAUGGUCAUGGUUUUGAGCGCAGAUCCAAUCGAUAAAUCAGUCCAGCAGAUUCCCACAGACGAACUCUGUUCCAGCAGACUUCAAUAGAAAAACCAUUUCCCCGGAGACUUCAACAGGAAACCUUCACACCCAAAUAACUUCCCUGGGCAAGCUUGUG
ensembl:lncRNA